AUUGAACGCUGGCGGCAGGCCUAACACAUGCAAGUCGAACGGCAGCACAGAAGAGCUUGCUCUUUGGGUGGCGAGUGGCGGACGGGUGAGUAAUGUCUGGGAAACUGCCGGAGGGAGGGGGAUAACUACUGGAAAAGGUAGCUAAUACCGCAUAACGUCGAAAGACCAAAGUGGGGGACCUUCGGGCCUCACACGAUCGGAUGUGCCCAGAUGGGAUUAGCUAGUAGGUGGGGUAAUGGCUCACCUAGGCGACGAUCCAUAGCUGGUCUGAGAUGAUGACCAGCCACACUGGAACUGAGACACGGUCCAGACUCCUACGGGAGGCAGCAGUGGGGAAUAUUGCACAAUGGGCGCAAGCCUGAUGCAGCCAUGCCGCGUGUAUGAAGAAGGCCUUCGGGUUGUAAAGUACUUUCAGCGGGGAGGAAGGCGGUGAGGUUAAUAACCUUGCCGAUUGACGUUACCCGCAGAAGAAGCACCGGCUAACUCCGUGCCAGCCGCCGCCGUAA
rnacentral:rRNA from 1 species